AUUGGACAAUGGGCGAAAGCCUGAUCCACCAAUGCCGCGUGAGUGAUGAAGGCCUUAGGGUUGUAAAGCUCUUUUACCCGGGAUGAUAAUGACAGUACCGGGAGAAUAAGCUCCGGCUAACUCCUUGCCCGCAACCCCGGUAAUACGGAGGGAGCUAG
rnacentral:rRNA from 1 species